CGGGCAUCCACAUAACUAGGACCUACAUACUUUCCCUGGAAAGUAGUCUUAAAGAACCCCCAACACUGUCGAUCAGGCUGAGUGCCCUCUUUAACCGUAAGCCACCACUGGUAAGCCUCAUCUCUCAGCAGUGACAUUGCACCCUUUAGUUUGCGGCCAGAUGAUGAAGACCUAGCUCGAGCACCUCCACGGCCUCCACCUUAGGCUCUUAAACCC
rnacentral:lncRNA from 1 species